UACGGGGGGGGCAAGCGUUGUUCGGAAUUACUGGGCGUAAAGGGCUCGUAGGCGGCCAACUAAGUCAGACGUGAAAUCCCUCGGCUUAACCGGGGAACUGCAUCUGAUACUGGAUGGCUUGAGUUCGGGAGAGGGAUGUGGAAUUCCAGGUGUAGCGGUGAAAUGCGUAGAUAUCGAGAGGAACACCUGCGGCGAAGGCGGGUUGCUGGGCCGACACUGACGCUGAUGCGCGAAAGCCAGGGGAGCGAACGGG
rnacentral:rRNA from 1 species